AUUGAACGCUGGCGGCAUGCCUUACACAUGCAAGUCGAACGGCAGCACAGGGGCAACUUGGGUGGCGAGUGGCGAACGGGUGAGUAAUAUAUCGGAACGUAUCCAAGAGAGGGGGACAACGCCGCGAAAGCGGCGCUAAUACCGCAUACGAUCUACGGAGGAAAGUGGGGGACCCGCAAGGGCCUCACGCUCGGGGGGCGGCCGAUAUCUGAUUAGCUAGUUGGUGAGGUAAAGGCUUACCAAGGCGAUGAUCAGUAGCUGGUCUGAGAGGACGACCAGCCACACUGGAACUGAGAGACGGUCCAGACUCCUACGGGAGGCAGCAGUGGGGAACUUUGGACAAUGGGCGCAAGCCUGAUCCAGCAAUGCCGCGUGAGUGAAGAAGGCCUUCGGGUUGUAAAGCUCUUUUGUCAGGGAAGAAACAGCGUUUUCGAAUAGGGAAUGCGAAUGACGGUACCUGAAGAAUAAGCACCGGCUAACUACGUGCCAGCCGCCGCGGUAA
rnacentral:rRNA from 1 species